rnacentral:rRNA from 1 species
AACGUAGGUUCCGAGCGUUAUCCGGAUUUACUGGGCGUAAAGCGCGUUCAGGCGGUUUGGCAAGUCGGGCAUGAAAUCUCUCGGCUCAACCGGGAGAGGUUGUCCGAUACUGCUGGACUUGAGGGCAGUAGAGGGUGGUGGAAUUCCGGGUGUAGUGGUGAAAUACAUAGAGAUGUCAUAGAACACCGAUUGCGAAGGCAGCUAACGAAACUAUAACUGACACUGAGGCUCGAAAGUGCGGGGAUCAAACAGG